rnacentral:misc_RNA from 1 species
GAUGAAGAACGCAGCGAAAUGCGAUAAGUAAUGUGAAUUGCAGAAUUCAGUGAAUCAUCGAAUCUUUGAACGCACAUUGCGCCCGCUAGUAUUCUAGCGGGCAUGCCUGUCCGAGCGUCAUUUCAACCCUCGAACCCCUCCGGGGGGUCGGCGUUGGGGACCUCGGGAGCCCCUAAGACGGGAUCCCGGCCCCGAAAUACAGUGGCGGUCUCGCCGCAGCCUCUCCUGCGCAGUAGUUUGCACAACUCGCACCGGGAGCGCGGCGCGUCCACGUCCGUAAAACACCCAACUUCUGAAAUGUUGACCUCGGAUCAGGUAGGAAUACCCGCUGAACUUAAGCAUAUCAAUAAGCGGAGGA